UACGUAGGGGGCUAGCGUUGUCCGGAAUCAUUGGGCGUAAAGAGCGUGUAGGCGGCCCGGUAAGUCCGCUGUGAAAGUCGGGGGCUCAACCCUCGAAUGCCGGUGGAUACUGUCGGGCUAGAGUGCGGAAGAGGCGAGUGGAAUUCCUGGUGUAGCGGUGAAAUGCGCAGAUAUCGUCAAGAACACCGAUAGUGAAGACAGCUUACUAGACUUCAACUGACGCUGAGGCACGAAAGUGUGGGGAUCAAACAGG
rnacentral:rRNA from 1 species